UACGUAGGGUGCGAGCGUUGUCCGGAAUCACUGGGCGUAAAGGGCGCGUAGGCGGCAGGCCAAGCGUGUGGUGAAAGCCCGGGGCUCAACCCCGGGUCGGCCAUGCGGACUGGCGUGCUUGAGCACUGUAGGGGCGGGUGGAAUUCCGGGUGUAGCGGUGGAAUGCGUAGAGAUCCGGAAGAACACCGGUGGCGAAGGCGGCCUGCUGGGCAGUUGCUGACACUGAGGCGCGACAGCGUGGGGAGCAAACAGG
rnacentral:rRNA from 1 species